rnacentral:lncRNA from 7 species
GGGGAUAUAGUUUUUCUCCUCCAAACCAACAAAAAAUCUCUUUGUGUAAGAUUAUCAGGUUCAACAGAUUUUGAAAUUAUGAUCUCUUUAAGGGAUGCAGUUCAUUUGUCUCACACAGUUGAGUGUUUGAAGAGGAGAGAGGAAUGCAACUCUGUGAAAAAUAGCUUGGGAAAUACCGGGAGACCUUGCGAGCAUUCAUAUCUAUAUGUAACACUAUGUUGAGUAAAUAUUUUUAUCUGUGGAAUAUUGGAUGUAAAACCACUGGGUAUUGCAAAGCCUAAGGCUGUUAAAAAAAUGUAUAAAGUAGAACUACUGGAAAUGCUGGAGUGACCAAGUAGCUUACACGCAUCAUAGUGAUUUCCUUAAGCUCUGCAAAAUCAUCUGUCAUGUGUGACUAAGCCAGUGCAUGGCUUUUCAAGAAAAUUGCUGGAGGGCACUACUCCACAGGACAUCUGGGAGAAAUCUGGUCCAUCAUGGGGUGCAGUAUGCUUCUCUCACACAAAGCCAGACGUCCCACUUGUCAAAGCCUGUGGUCUACUUCUCUCAGCUCCAUUUGCUACAAUGCAGAGCUGCAGAGGGUGUGUUACUAGAAGGGAAUGUGAGCUGUGACACGUGCAGCCUCAUCCAGAAUGCAUUUUUUGAAAGGACAAGGUGACUUAACCUUACGUAGAAAUAUUAUUUUGUCUUAACUCCUUCCAUAGAUACACAUAUAGUAUCAGCGUAACAUAAUAUAGAAGUCUGUAGUAAAGAAUGUGUUUUAGGAUAGGAACAGAGCACUAGUAUAGCAUGUAUCAAUAACAGUUACUGGCUGUUUUUCAGUUUAGUAUUAGUUAGGGCAAACAGUAAUAUGGAGACGUUUUCUUCAACUUGUAUGAUUUUUCUGCUAAUGUCUGGCAGUCAGUAUUGCCUGUUGACUGGCUCAGAGACGGAGUGUUUCCUGUAAGGAUACCUCUAAAGAUGCAGGCACAUUAGAAUUAUUCAAUAGGUAAGAAGAAAAAGAGAUUAUCAAAGAAAAAGAAAUUAGGAGAGGGGAUCUUGCACAAAAGGAAAUAUGGUUCAUGGAUGAAAAGUGUACUGUUCUGUAAUGAAGGUGACAAUUAAAUUUGCCUGCAGCUUUCC